rnacentral:rRNA from 1 species
GACGAACGCUGGCGGCGUGCUUAACACAUGCAAGUCGAACGGAAAGGCCCUGCUUUUGUGGGGUGCUCGAGUGGCGAACGGGUGAGUAACACGUGAGUAACCUGCCCUUGACUUUGGGAUAACUUCAGGAAACUGGGGCUAAUACCGGAUAGGAGCUCCUGCUGCAUGGUGGGGGUUGGAAAGUUUCGGCGGUUGGGGAUGGACUCGCGGCUUAUCAGCUUGUUGGUGGGGUAGUGGCUUACCAAGGCUUUGACGGGUAGCCGGCCUGUGAGGGUGACCGGCCACAUUGGGACUGAGAUACGGCCCAGACUCCUACGGGAGGCAGCAGUGGGGAAUAUUGCACAAUGGGCGGAAGCCUGAUGCAGCAACGCCGCGUGCGGGAUGACGGCCUUCGGGUUGUAAACCGCUUUCGCCUGUGACGAAGCGUGAGUGACGGUAACGGGUAAAGAAGCACCGGCUAACUACGUG